AUACGGAGGAUCCGAGCGUUAUCCGGAUUUAUUGGGUUUAAAGGGUGCGCAGGCGGCCAUUUAAGUCAGCGGUUAAAUCGUGGGGCUCAACCCCAUUCUGCCGUUGAUACUGGGUGGCUUGAUUGCGGUCGAGGUUGGCGGAAUUCGUUGUGUAGCGGUGAAAUGCAUAGAUAUGACGAAGAACACCGAUUGCGUAGGCAGCUGACCAGACCGCAAAUGACGCUCAUGCACGAAAGUGCGGUGAUCGAACAGGAUUAGAUACCCUGGUAGUCCGCACAGUAAACGAUGAAUACUUGUUUUCGGCGAUAUAAUGUCGGAGGCAAAGCGAAAGCGAUAAUUAUUCCACCUGGGGAGUACGCCGGCAACGGUGAAACUCAAAUGAAUUGACGGGG
rnacentral:rRNA from 1 species